GACUACAGGGGUAUCUAAUCCUGUUUGCUCCCCACGCUUUCGCACCUCAGCGUCAGUACCGAUCCAGUGGGCCGCCUUCGCCACCGGUAUUCUUCCUAAUAUCUACGAAUUUCACCUCUACACUAGGAAUUCUACCCACCUCUAUCGGACUCGAGACCAUCAGUAUCAAAGGCAGUUCCGAGGUUGAGCCCCGGGAUUUCACCCCUGACUAAAUGAUCCGCCUACGUGCGCUUUACGCCCAGUGAUUCCGAACAACGCUAGUCCCCUUCGUAUUACCGCGGCUGCUGGCACGAAGUUAGCCGGGACUUAUUCUCCGGGUACCGUCAUUAUCGUCCCCGGUAAAAGAGCUUUACAACCCUAAGGCCUUCAUCACUCACGCGGCAUGGCUGGAUCAGGCUUGCGCCCAUUGUCCAAUAUUCCCCACUGCUGCCUCCCGUAGG
rnacentral:rRNA from 1 species